rnacentral:piRNA from 1 species
UUAUGUUAAGAUCCAUGAUUC